AGUGAACGCUGGCGGUAGGCCUAACACAUGCAAGUCGUACGGCAGCACAGAGGAGCUUGCUCCUUGGGUGGCGAGUGGCGGACGGGUGAGGAAUACAUCGGAAUCUACUCUGUCGUGGGGGAUAACGUAGGGAAACUUACGCUAAUACCGCAUACGACCUACGGGUGAAAGCAGGGGAUCUUCGGACCUUGCGCGAUUGAAUGAGCCGAUGUCGGAUUAGCUAGUUGGCGGGGUAAAGGCCCACCAAGGGGACGAUCCGUAGCUGGUCUGAGAGGAUGAUCAGCGACACUGGAACUGUGACACGGUCCAGACUCCUACGGGAGGCAGCAGUGGGGAAUAUUGGACAAUGGGCGCAAGCCUGAUCCAGCCAUACCGCGUGGGUGAAGAAGGCCUUCGGGUUGUAAAGCGCUUUUGUUGGGAAAGAAAUCCAUCUGGUUAAUACCCGGGUGGGAUGACGGUACCCAAAGAAUAAGCACCGGCUAACUUCGUGCCAGCCGCCGCAGUAA
rnacentral:rRNA from 1 species